UCUUACUGAUUUAGCAUUCAGUCAUAAGAAAUGAAACAGACUGCUGUUUUCACAAGAUACAACUAAUUCCUGAAGGUAGAGAAGACAGUGUGAGGAUCGCAAGACCAUGGAUGCAGUUCUUCGAGAAAACGAGUGUGCAAGAAGUAUGUUGUAAUUGAAGUGGCGUACUGCCUGCCACCCAAGAGGUUGCUCUGUAAGUGGUGAGUUUUGAGGAAAUAAGACUUUCAUCUAUUGUAUUUUUCGUGGUGUCACAGCACU
rnacentral:lncRNA from 10 species